rnacentral:rRNA from 1 species
UACGUAGGUGGCAAGCGUUGUCCGGAUUUACUGGGCGUAAAGAGCGCGCAGGCGGUCGAUCAAGUCGCGUGUGAAAGCCCCCCGGCUCAACUGGGGAGGGUCACGCGAUACUGAUCGACUCGAAGGCAGGAGAGGGUAGUGGAAUUCCCGGUGUAGUGGUGAAAUGCGUAGAUAUCGGGAGGAACACCAGUGGCGAAGGCGACUACCUGGCCUGUUCUUGACGCUGAGGCGCGAAAGCUAGGGGAGCAACGGG